rnacentral:piRNA from 1 species
UGAUCCUAUGGACAAAAUGUUAGGGGUGAC